GAUGAACGCUGGCGGCGUGCUUAACACAUGCAAGUCGAACGGAAAGGCCCAAGCUUGCUUGGGUACUCGAGUGGCGAACGGGUGAGUAACACGUGGGUGAUCUGCCCUGCACUUCGGGAUAAGCCUGGGAAACUGGGUCUAAUACCGGAUAGGACCACAUUUUGGAUGGUGUGGUGGAAAGUUUUUCGGUGUGGGAUGAGCUCGCGGCCUAUCAGCUUGUUGGUGGGGUAAUGGCCUACCAAGGCGUCGACGGGUAGCCGGCCUGAGAGGGUGUACGGCCACAUUGGGACUGAGAUACGGCCCAGACUCCUACGGGAGGCAGCAGUGGGGAAUAUUGCACAAUGGGCGCAAGCCUGAUGCAGCGACGCCGCGCGGGGGAUGACGGCCUUCGGGUUGUAAACUCCUUUCGCUAGGGACGAAGCGUUAUGUGACGGUACCUGGAGAAGAAGCACCGGCUAACUACGUG
rnacentral:rRNA from 1 species